AGUUGAAUGGCAGGGCAAUUCUCCUUUGGCGGAUAAAUUAAGCAAAGUGCAACAUUUCUGCCAAAGGAGAAUUGCCCUGUUAUUCACUA
rfam:Corchorus capsularis cultivar CVL-1 contig10919, whole genome shotgun sequence.